CAACAAACAAAACAAUUUCAAAAAUACAAGUAUCAAACGUUAAGCAAAAACUUGUUGAAGUUGUCUAGACUGAUAUGUUGUGUAGUGCCAAUUGGACAGGCUAGUCAAUAUAGAUAUAUAUAUAUAUAUAUAUGCAUAGUCUUCAGGUCUGAUUAAAUUGAAACCAAAUCAAUUUGGCAUCAAUAGAAAUACAUACAAAUAAUGACAAAUAAAUAUGAAAGCGAAGAAAAUAACAACAAAAUGAUGGGAUCAAUUGGAAUAUAAGCACAGGGGCAUGCAUCAAAUUCCAAACUCAACGCUGCUGCGACUUGUCGACUUGACUAUGCUACAAUCCCUGACCAGGCCCAGUCAUGGCUGCUGCUCAAUCUGAAUAAUUAAUGCAGUUUUGCUCCUUUCGUAGAUUCGGUCGUUUUCUGUCUCUCACUCUCACUACAGUAAACUAAAACCAACUGAUUCUGUUCCUAGUGCAAACGGCAAACGGCAAAACUAAUUUAUGGCAUUAAAAAUGCAUAUUUUCUAGCAGUGCGUUGCCUGUUUUUAUCAUUUGCCAACUGCCAGAGAAAGGCAACCACCCAAAAUAAAAAAAAGAAAAAGGAGAACAAAAAAAAAUUAUAUAUACAC